AUCGUCGCACUCUCAAAACCCCCAUUUAGACCCAUUUUCCUUUUAAAUCACAAUUCAUUUUUCAAAUCACAAAUUGAAUAAAAAAAACACAUUUUCAAACCAUUUUAUUUAUUUAUCAAAAAAUGGGGCGCGACACAUGUCCACUGGAGUUCUUGUACGAACGAUUUGGGAGAAGGGACUCUUAUGAUCAACACCAUGACGACUUCUUCAUUAGCAAAGAGGAGUG
rnacentral:lncRNA from 1 species